UACGGAGGAUGCGAGCGUUAUCCGGAUUUAUUGGGUUUAAAGGGUGCGUAGGCGGUCCGUUAAGUCAGCGGUAAAAUUGCGGGGCUCAACCCCGUCGAGCCGUUGAAACUGGCAGACUUGAGUUGGCGAGAAGUAUGCGGAAUGCGUGGUGUAGCGGUGAAAUGCAUAGAUAUCACGCAGAACUCCGAUUGCGAAGGCAGCCUGCCGGCCCCACACUGACGCUGAGGCACGAAGCGUGGGUAGGUCGAA
rnacentral:rRNA from 1 species